rfam:Triticum aestivum genome assembly, contig: Triticum_aestivum_CS42_TGACv1_scaffold_571371_7AS
CUUAUACUCCCUCCGUCCAGAAAUACUUGUCAUCAAAAUGAAUUAAAGGGAAUGUAUCUAGACGUAUUUUAGUUCUAGAUACACCCCUUUUUAUCCAUUUUGGUGACCUGUAUUUUUGGACAGAGGGAGUACUAU